GACGAACGCUGGCGGCGUGCUUAACACAUGCAAGUCGAACGGAAAGGCCCUGCUUUUGUGGGGUGCUCGAGUGGCGAACGGGUGAGUAACACGUGAGUAACCUGCCCUUGACUUUGGGAUAACUUCAGGAAACUGGGGCUAAUACCGGAUAGGAGCUCCUGCUGCAUGGUGGGGGUUGGAAAGUUUCGGCGGUUGGGGAUGGACUCGCGGCUUAUCAGCUUGUUGGUGGGGUAGUGGCUUACCAAGGCUUUGACGGGUAGCCGGCCUGAGAGGGUGACCGGCCACAUUGGGACUGAGAUACGGCCCAGACUCCUACGGGGGGCAGCAGUGGGGAAUAUUGCACAAUGAGCGGAAGCCUGAUGCAGCAGCGCCGCGGGCGGGAUGACGGCCUUCGGGUUGUAAACCGCUUUCGCCUGUGACGAAGCGUGAGUGACGGUAAUGGGUAAAGAAGCACCGGCUAACUACGUG
rnacentral:rRNA from 1 species